GUCUCACUGGUUUACUUCAGGUGCUGUGGGACAAUCCACAGGUAGGGAAAUCCACAGCCUGUUCCUGCUGCAGUACAGCACAGUCAGGUAUUAAGGAGUACUACGUUAUAAGGAAAAAGGAAAAAAGGAACACAAUAUACACAUGUAACAGCAAUGUGGAGUUGUUCUGGAAACAGGCCCUGGGGAAACCAUCUGAACCAAACCAGAUUUUUCAAACUAUCCAG
rnacentral:lncRNA from 1 species